AUUGAACGCUGGCGGCAUGCCUAACACAUGCAAGUCGAACGAGUCGCGGACGGGUGUGUAAUGUCUGGGAAACUGCCCGUUGGAGGGGGAUACCUACUGGAACCGGUUGCUAAACCCGCAUACCAUCGCAUGUGCCCAGAUGGGAUUAGAUAGUGGGUGGGGUAAAGGCUCACGAGGGCGACGAUCCCUAUCGGGUCGGAGAGGAGGACCAGCAACAAUGGAACUGAGACACGGUCCAGAGUCUUAAGGGGGGAAGCAGUGGGGAAGAUUGGACAAUGGGGGCAAGCCUGAUGCAGCCAGCCCGCGUGUAUGAGGAAGGCCUUCGGGUGGUAAAGUACUUUCAGCGGGAAGGCGUUACCCGCAGAAGAAGCAACGGCUAACUCCGUGCCAGCCGCCGCGGUAAUUC
rnacentral:rRNA from 1 species